GUAAAAAAUUACAGUUUUGUCUGGUUCGACGGCCCGUUUUUAUUUGAAAAAAACGGAGGUCUAAAUGAUCUUAUAACAUUGUACAUUGAAACAAAGGUAGAAAAACAGAGAUAACCAUUUCAUCGAGCGAAUAUCACAUUGGAUUUUUAAGGACAUUCAACAAUUGCCAUUGUGUUGUGAUAUGUUAACGGUGUGCCCUUCGCCUUUAUUACUAUAAAAGUUUGAGUCUAAAACUUUGAGAUGGGGUGUAUUUGGUGUGUUUUAUGGUUCUUAGCUUUAAUCUUAGCGGGAAUUUGGGUUUCUCAAAUCUGUUCUUGCUGGUAUGUUUGUUGUUACGUGUUGUUACAGUGCUUUUCUGGUUUAGAGAAUAUUGUGGAAUUCACCCUAAAAGGAGCAAAAUUUGCUGGAUUUUGUACUGA